rnacentral:rRNA from 1 species
UACGAAGGGGGCUAGCGUUGCUCGGAAUCACUGGGCGUAAAGCGCACGUAGGCGGGUUGUUAAGUCAGGGGUGAAAUCCUGGAGCUCAACUCCAGAACUGCCUUUGAUACUGGCAACCUAGAGGCUGGAAGAGGUUAGUGGAAUUCCCAGUGUAGAGGUGAAAUUCGUAGAUAUUGGGAAGAACACCAGUGGCGAAGGCGGCUAACUGGUCCAGAUCUGACGCUGAGGUGCGAAAGCGUGGGGAGCAAACAGG